rnacentral:rRNA from 1 species
UACGUAGGGUGCGAGCGUUGUCCGGAAUUAUUGGGCGUAAAGGGCUCGUAGGCGGUUUGUCGCGUCGGGAGUGAAAACCUCGGGCUUAACUCGGGGCUUGCUUUCGAUACGGGCAGACUAGAGGUAUGCAGGGGAGAACGGAAUUCCUGGUGUAGCGGUGAAAUGCGCAGAUAUCAGGAGGAACACCGGUGGCGAAGGCGGGUCUCUGGGCAGUAACUGACGCUGAGGAGCGACAGCGUGGGGAGCAAACAGG